GUUGAUAGGCCAGACGUGGAAGCACGGUAACGUGUGGAGCUGACUGGUACUAAUAGACCAACAACUACAAACCAACACAA
rnacentral:rRNA from 1 species